rnacentral:rRNA from 1 species
AAGUCUUCGGAUGCGAAGCCUAUCACUGAGCGGCGAACGGGUGAGUAACGCGUGGGCAACCUGCCCCCAGACUGGGAUAACAGCUCGAAAGGGCUGCUAAUACCGGAUACGCCUCAAGUUCCGCAUGGGAUUUGAGUGAAAGCGGUUAGCGCUGGGGGAUGGGCCCGCGUCCCAUUAGCUAGUUGGUGAGGUAACGGCUCACCAAGGCGACGAUGGGUAGCCGGCCUGAGAGGGUGGACGGCCACACUGGGACUGAGACACGGCCCAGACUCC